ensembl:snRNA U2 U2 spliceosomal RNA
AUCACUUCUCGGCCUUUUGGCUAAGAUCAAGUGUAGUAAUUUUUAUUUGUGUUUCACUUAUAUUUGCCACUGACACAAAAAUUUUAAAAAUGGAUUGAGUACAUUUCCAUUCCUACUAUUUGACCAAA